AUGGCGACCGGCGCACGGUGGCGUAACGCGUAUGCAACCUACCUGUAACAGGGGAGUAACACUGAGAAAUACGGUACUAAUACCGCAUAACACUAUGAGAGGCAUCUCUUGUGGUUGAAAGUUUCGGCGGUUACAGAUGGGCAUGCGUUGUAUUAGCUGGUUGGUAAGGUAACGGCUUACCAAGGCGACGAUACAUAGGGGGACUGAGAGGUUAACCCCCCACAUUGGUACUGAGACACGGACCAAACUCCUACGGAAGGCAGCAG
rnacentral:rRNA from 1 species